GCGCACGUGUGUCCUCUCUCUCUGUCUCUCUCUCUCUCUCUCUCUCUGUGUGUGUGUGUGUGUGUGAGAGAGAGAGAGAGAGAGAGAGAGAGAGAGAGAUGCAUUUU